ACGAACGCUGGCGGCGUGCUUAACACAUGCAAGUCGAACGGUGAAGGCGGAGCUUGCUCUGCUGGAUCAGUGGCGAACGGGUGAGUAACACGUGAGUAACCUGCCCUUGACUCUGGGAUAAGCGUUGGAAACGACGUCUAAUACCGGAUACGAGCCCCAACCGCAUGGUUAGGGGUUGGAAAGAAUUUCGGUCAAGGAUGGACUCGCGGCCUAUCAGCUUGUUGGUGAGGUAAUGGCUCACCAAGGCGACGACGGGUAGCCGGCCUGAGAGGGUGACCGGCCACACUGGGACUGAGACACGGCCCAGACUCCUACGGGAGGCAGCAGUGGGGAAUAUUGCACAAUGGGCGAAAGCCUGAUGCAGCAACGCCGCGUGAGGGAUGACGGCCUUCGGGUUGUAAACCUCUUUUAGUAGGGAAGAAGCGAAAGUGACGGUACCUGCAGAAAAAGCACCGGCUAACUACGU
rnacentral:rRNA from 1 species